AUGAAGGCCUUCGGGUCGUAAAGUUCUGUUGUGAGGGAAGAACAAGGAUCGUGCNAACAGANCGGUCCCUUGACGGUACCUCACGAGGAAGCCCCGGCUAACUACGUGCCAGCAGCCGCGGUAAUACGUAGGGGGCAAGCGUUGUCCGGAAUUAUUGGGCGUAAAGGGCACGCAGGCGGUUCCUUAAGUCUGAUGUGAAAGCCCGUGGCUCAACCNCGGAGGGCCAUUGGAAACUGGGGAACUUGAGAACUGAAGAGGAGAGUGGAAUUCCACGUGUAGCGGUGAAAUGCGUAGAUAUGUGGAGGAACACCAGUGGCGAAGGCGACUCUCUGGUCNGUUUCUGACGCUGAGGUGCGAAAGCGUGGGUAGCAAACAGGAUUAGAUACCCUGGUAGUCCACGCCGUAAACGAUGAGUGCUAGGUGUUAGGGGGCUUCCACCCCUUAGUGCUGAAGUUAACGCAUUAAGCACUCCGCCUGGGGAGUACGGCCGCAAGGCUGAAACUCAAAGG
rnacentral:rRNA from 1 species